GGUCAUCCGAUAUCUUAUCCUCAAACAUACCCGGUUAUAACCUGCUUUUUGGAAUACCCCCCUGGAGUGAGAAAUGUGUUUUGACUGGAAAUGCGGUCAGCGAUGACCUCCAGCCAAUGAGAGCGCAAGAUACACGGCAAAGGAAAGUUCAGUGGGAGGAACCAUAAUAGCUCUGCAAAAGAACAACAGCAUCCAUUGUCUCCUUCAUAUUCUUCUUUGUUUAUUUUUUUCUUCUUUUCACUGCAAAUCAUUCUUCAGACAACUUGGAUUUCAAGCUUUUUGUGUGCUAUCGUUUUUGACAAGAAUAAAUCCAUUACGUUAUCUCCCGUAUUACGUGCACACAAGCAACUAGAUUGUACCCUAGAGAGUCGUGCAGUGUGAGAACAGCAGUGAUCCGACAACUUUGAAAAUCGAGCAGUGUGAACCCUGCAUAAGUGAACCAUACUAACCUUGACUACUUGAUUUACAGACCAUGUUUAGAAUUUCUGAAGGAAUCUGAAUCGUUUCAAAGUUGUGUUGUGGAAAAGCAAGGGGACCGACUUUGGCUUCAGUUGGCUCACAUCUGGCAGGGGCUCCCCGUCUCCAUCAAUUCAGCAGAGAAUAAGACGCAUGCUUCAAACGAAAGCCCAACAGCAAUGGAAUACUCUUUUAGGUUCACAUAAGUGUCAUGUCUGACAGUGGAGAGAAACAUCUUGUGAAGACAUACUACAAGAAGGAUACAUACUUGUGGUGUGAUGUAUGUAUGCAGAGGUUACUCACGAACAUCUGCAGGGCAGCUUUAUGGUUGUGGAGCAUGUCUGUGUGUAUAUUUUAGCCUGUGGGACUGUUAUAGCUGUGAUGUGACGCUAGUGUUGUGGAUUUCUCAUCUGUAUUGAAUGACUCACCCAUAGCACAGACAGUAAAGUACCACUCUGAACUUUAUAGACUUGAGCAGAUACACUGUUAUUGGACAGCAUUUGUACCUUACAGAAAAGGAUCAGUGACAGACAGGAUGUGUUUGAAGAUGUCUUAGAUAUAUACAUGUAGGUUCCUCAGUGUCUUUUAUGUAGACCUUGAUAAGGAAAAUGCUUUCUUACUAAAGUGCCAUGCAAUAAUGUGCAAAGUGUUCUGUUCUGAUACAAAUCAAGUAGCCUACUGAUUAAUGAAUGGGUUACUCAAAAUCUAAAUUCUGUCAUUUACUUAUGAUUUUUGAAACUCUUCUGACUUACUUUCUUCUGUGAAACACAAAAUGAGUUGUUAACACAGAACAUUUUCAGUUGAAUUUUUGGGGGGGGUGCUGAACUAUCCCUUUAAGUUCUUAACCCACAACUGGGUUGUGUAGCAGACAAGCAAGAUCAUAUUAUGGACCUCCUGUAGUGACUAUGAAUGAAUGUAUGAAUAUGUUUAUCUUUAUUUGUUUGCCGAAACACUUUGUUUGACAUUUUGCUAUCUAAUGUAAGUGCAACUGUAACAUGCAUGUGGACAGAAAUAUUGAUUGCUGAAUAUUCAACACAAAGUUAUUUAUAGUUCUUUAUCACAGUUCUGAAUAUUUAAAAGCAGAAAGUUUUAAAAUAUAAUGAGCGUUAAAGACAAUGUACCGGGAAAAAUUGGCACAUAUUGUUUGCAUAUUAUUUCCUUGGCCUUGCCAGACUUUUGCAAAGCUGAAAAAAAAAACGGUUCUCUCUGUAACAAAUCUAUAAAAUUGGUUUUAUUGGUUUCUUUUGCCAUAUCUUUUGAAGGCCCUGUGGUUUUUAAAAGUGAGAUACUGGCACAAUGUCGACCAAAUUCAACUUUGAGUAAUUGCAACAUGACUUUGAACAACUCUUAAAAACUAACCAUUGCUCCUUGACAAAAAGCUGUUAAAGUUUUACAAACUCAAUGCACUUAUUAUUAUUUUCUAGACUUAUUCUACAAAUGUACAUAAGAAUAUGAAAAUCCAAAUUCUGAAGCAUUCCGGCUGGAUUGUUUUCCAGAAUGGCCAAUUUAUCGGACAGUGUGUUAGCAUCUGGUUUCAUUUGACCUACACUGUUUGACCUUAAAUAUAUGACCCAUUGCAUGUAUACUGUAAAUUUCUGUAUUACAGCUGUUUGUCUGUCUAUCUUUCUGUCUAUCUAUCAAUGUCUCCAUGAUUUGAAUUUGAUAUUAAACUGUUCUCCAGCUCAGUCUCUCCAAGCAAUUAGGAAUAUUCAACAUAACAUAACAUUGGUAUCCCAAGAUUAAUAAAUGAUUCCAGAAUUUGAAAACAUCUUAAAACUUGGGGAGAGAGAGGCAAAAAGUGAUACGGGUUUUGUUUGCUGUUGCGAGAUAAAAAGCAAUUAGAUCCUCAUUUCCCUUGAAAUCCCAGCUGCUGAAACCUUAUCAAAGACUGUCAAACCAAACAGUUUCAUAACCCACACUGUGAACCCUACCAGAGCUUGAUGUAGGUGAUGGGUCAGCUUCUCUGUUUAAAAAAAAAAAAAAAAAUUAAGUGGGUUGAAUAA